rnacentral:rRNA from 1 species
UACGUAGGGUGCGGGCGUUAAUCGGAAUCACUGGGCGUAAAGCGCACGUAGACGGACUCUUAAGUCGGGGGUGAAAUCCUGGAGCUCAACUCCAGAACUGCCUUCGAUACUGGCGAUCUUGAGUCCGGAAGAGGUGAGUGGAACUCCUAGUGUAGAGGUGGAAUUCGUAGAUAUUAGGAAGAACACCAGUGGCGAAGGCGGCUCACUGGUCCGGUACUGACGCUGAGGUGCGAAAGCGUGGGGAGCAAACAGG